AUUGAACGCUGGCGGCAUGCUUUACACAUGCAAGUCGAACGGUAACAGGCCGCAAGGUGCUGACGAGUGGCGAACGGGUGAGUAAUGCAUCGGAACGUGCCCAGUCAUGGGGGAUAACGCAGCGAAAGCUGUGCUAAUACCGCAUACGAUCUAUGGAUGAAAGCGGGGGGCCGUAAGGCCUCGCGCGAUUGGAGCGGCCGAUGUCAGAUUAGGUAGUUGGUGGGGUAAAGGCCUACCAAGCCGACGAUCUGUAGCUGGUCUGAGAGGACGACCAGCCACACUGGGACUGAGACACGGCCCAGACUCCUACGGGAGGCAGCAGUGGGGAAUUUUGGACAAUGGGCGCAAGCCUGAUCCAGCAAUGCCGCGUGCAGGAAGAAGGCCUUCGGGUUGUAAACUGCUUUUGUACGGAACGAAACGGCCUGGGUUAAUACCCUGGGCUAAUGACGGUACCGUAAGAAUAAGCACCGGCUAACUGCGUGCCAGCCGCCGCUGUAAGAC
rnacentral:rRNA from 1 species